GAAAUAUUUAAAAAGAUUGUCAUGAAUAGAGAGCGAGAGAGAGAGAGAGAGAGAGAGAGAGAGAGAGCAGCAGAGAUACGAGUGAGCAAAGAAAGAACAAAUUAGAACGGAGGAAGCAUGGAAAUUUUUUCAUUUCCAGAGACUUGCCACAAAAGUUUGAAGACCACCCAUCAGCCUUCAUGCCUGCUGUUUGACCUUCAAGGCAACCAGCAACGCACAGCCUCCGCACUUGUAUUACAACAUCCCUUGUUCCCUCUUUAAUUUUUCCUUUUCCUCCCCAUCACUUCUUCUCCUCGUCUCCACCACCUCACCCUCUGCUUGGUUGUGAUGGAUGUCUGCUGUGUGCGGCGCACAGCAGCCUGGAGGAAAUAUUCUGUCACACAUCAUCAUAAUGCGCCCAAGGACGCCGGUGUUUAAGCCAGAGACCCUGGUGCUGUCAUGUCCCCAGAUUAUUGUGAAACAGAUUGAUUAACCCUCGAGUGGAAGCAACCCCUUUUUUCCACGGUGGCAGGUCGCCACCUCUCUUGGGGGGGUCUCUUUCUCUCUCUCUUUCAUUCCACUAUGCAAUAAACCUGUUGCACUUUUGAUCAACGACCCCCAAAAAUCAAUGUCUUUAAAGGUAAUGUGUCUUUUAUUCACGUGUCACACCUAGGUUUUCCAGCAGAGGUUUGUAUGCGGUGACAAGCGGACUGUUAAGAAUUUCUGUAAACGCUACAUUAUUUAUUGACCCAUGAAUGCUACAAUGUGCACGGAUAACAUUGUUUAUUUAGGAUAAGGAAUAACUACAAGAUGCAAAUCUAAUAUUAUUAAUAUUUUAAACCUUUUACCACAUUUUUUUACCACAACACAGCCGUGGUGAAAAACCACUGGUUUAAAAAUUCCUGUGUGAAAUCAGAGAGUGGAAUCUGAAAACCACUCUCACAGAGAUUAGAUUUUUGAAAACAACUUUUCGUAAAAUUCACCAGAAAUCAUCACGUUUUUGUACAAAUGCAC